AUUGAACGCUGGCGGCAGGCUUAACACAUGCAAGUCGAGCGGGGGAAGGUAGCUUGCUACCGGACCUAGCGGCGGACGGGUGAGUAAUGCUUAGGAAUCUGCCUAUUAGUGGGGGACAACAUCUCGAAAGGGAUGCUAAUACCGCAUACGUCCUACGGGAGAAAGCAGGGGAUCUUCGGACCUUGCGCUAAUAGCUGAGCCUAAGUCGGAUUAGCUAGUUGGUGGGGUAAAGGCCUACCAAGGCGACGAUCUGUAGCGGGUCUGAGAGGAUGAUCCGCCACACUGGGACUGAGACACGGCCCAGACUCCUACGGGAGGCAGCAGUGGGGAAUAUUGGACAAUGGGGGGAACCCUGAUCCAGCCAUGCCGCGUGUGUGAAGAAGGCCUUCUGGUUGUAAAGCACUUUAAGCGAGGAGGAGGCUACUUUAGUUAAUACCUAGAGAUAGUGGACGUUACUCGCAGAAUAAGCACCGGCUAACUCUGUGCCAGCAGCCGCAGUAA
rnacentral:rRNA from 1 species